AAAUGAAUAGACGGGGGCCCGCACAAGCGGAGGAGCAUGUGGUUUAAUUCGAUGAUACGCGAGGAACCUUACCCGGGCUUGAACGUAAGACGAAUAUAGUGGAAACAUUAUAGCCUACGGGCGUCUUGCGAGGUGCUGCAUGGUUGUCGUCAGCUCGUGCCGUGAGGUGUUAGGUUAAGUCCUGCAACGAGCGCAACCCUUACACAUAGUUGCCAGCAUGUAAAGAUGGGGACUCUAUGUGAACUGCCUACGCAAGUAGAGAGGAAGGUGGGGAUGACGUCAAAUCAGCACGGCCCUUAUGUUCGGGGCUACACACGUGCUACAAUGGCAUGUACAGAGGGCAGCCACCAUGCGAAUGGGAGCCAAUCCUCAAAACAUGUCUCAGUUCGGAUUGGAGUCUGUAACUCGACUCUAUGAAGUUGGAUUCGCUAGUAAUCGCGCAUCAGCCAUGGCGCGGUGAAUACGUUCCCGGGCCUUGUACACACCGCCCGU
rnacentral:rRNA from 1 species